rnacentral:lncRNA from 1 species
AGUCCUUUUUUUUUCAAAUCGAAGUAUGGUUGACAUACAAUAUAUUCUAUUCAUUUCAGGUGUACAACAGGGUGAUUCGACAGCUGUAUGUGUUACAAAAUGCUCACCAUGGCAACAUUUUGAAAGACUGCAACAUUCUCUGGGAAGGUGGAAAGUAUGGGAGUCUGUCCCUUCGCUGACACGUUCGGUUCAGGCAGGUGGUGACCUUCUUCCUGGGCCAGAAGUGAGACCAUCAGAGGACCCCUCACAAGUGCCCCAAAGCACCAAGCUUUGAAUUCAUGGAGUUGGGGGUGGGGUCCGCUUCGGACAUGAAAAAUAAAGUAUCUCCCUUUAGUUGAAAAUACCCAUUCAGUUUAGUUCUUA